UGCCUACGGGGCGCAGCAGUGGGGGAUAUUGCACAAUGGGGGGAACCCUGAUGCAGCGACGCCGCGUGGGCGAGGGAGCGCCUCGGCGCGUAAAGCCCUUUCGGCGGGGGAGAACGAUGACGGUACCCGACGAAGAAGCACCGGCUAAAUACGUGCCAGCAGCCGCGGUAAUACGUAUGGUGCGGGCGUUGUCCGGAUUUACUGGGCGUGAAGGGGGCGCAGGCGGCGCGCCAAGCCCGAUGUGAAAGCCCGGGGCUCCACCCCGGGACUGCCUUGGGAACUUGCGUGCUGGGGGGCCGGGGGGG
rnacentral:rRNA from 1 species